UACGUAGGGUGCAAGCAUUAAUCGGAAUUAUUGGGCGUAAAGGGCGCGUAGGCGGGUAUGUAAGUCAGAUGUGAAAUCCCGGAGCUCAACUCCGGAACUGCAUUUGAAACUGCAUAUCUAGAGGAUAGGCGGAGAAAACGGAAUUCCACAAGUAGCGGUGAAAUGCGUAGAUAUGUGGAAGAACACCUGUGGCGAAAGCGGUUUUCUAGCUUAGACCUGACGCUGAGGCGCGAAAGCAAGGGGAUCAAACAGG
rnacentral:rRNA from 1 species